rnacentral:rRNA from 1 species
GAUGAACGCUGGCGGCGUGCUUAACACAUGCAAGUCGAACGGAAAGGCUCCUGCUUGCAGGGGUACUCGAGUGGCGAACGGGUGAGUAACACGUGGGUGAUCUGCCCUGCACUUCGGGAUAAGCCUGGGAAACUGGGUCUAAUACCGGAUAGGACGAUGGCUUGGAUGCCAUUGUGGAAAGUUUUUCGGUGUGGGAUGAGCUCGCGGCCUAUCAGCUUGUUGGUGGGGUAAUGGCCCACCAAGGCGUCGACGGGUAGCCGGCCUGUUAGGUUGUACGGCCACAUUGGGACUGGGGUCCGGCCCUGACUCCUACGGGAGGCAGCAGUGGGGAAUAUUGCACAAUGGGCGCAAGCCUGAUGCAGCGACGCCGCGUGGGGUAUGACGCCCUUCGGGUUGUACACUACUUUCGCUAGGGACGGAGCCGAAGUGACGGUACCUGGAGAAGAACCACCGGCUAACUACGUG